rnacentral:rRNA from 1 species
CAAGUUUUUAAGGGCGCACGGUGGAUGCCUUGGCACCAGGAACCGAUGAAGGACGUGGGAGGCCACGAUAGGCCCCGGGGAGCUGUCAACCGAGCUUUGAUCCGGGGGUGUCCGAAUGGGGAAACCCGGCAGUCGUCAUGGGCUGUCACCCGCUGCUGAACACAUAGGCAGUGUGGAGGGAACGCGGGGAAGUGAAACAUCUCAGUACCCGCAGGAAGAGAAAACAACCGUGAUUCCGGGAGUAGUGGCGAGCGAAACCGGAUGAGGCCAAACCAGUCACGUGUGAUACCCGGCAGGGGUUGCGUGGUUGGGGUUGUGGGAGUUCUCUUUUGCAGUCUGCCGGCUGUGAGGCAAGUCAGAAACCGUUGGUGUAGGCGAAGGACAUGCGAAAGGUCCGGCGUAGAGGGUAAGACCCCCGUAGCUGAAACAUCAACGGCUUGCUUGAGAACCACCCAAGUAGCACGGGGCCCGAGAAAUCCCGUGUGAAUCUGGCGGGACCACCCGUUAAGCCUAAAUAUUCCCUGGUGACCGAUAGCGGAUAGUACCGUGAGGGAAUGGUGAAAAGUACCGCGGGAGCGGAGUGAAAUAGUACCUGAAACCGUGUGCCUACAAGCCGUGGGAGCGUCGCGCAGAGACUUGUCUCUGCGUCGUGACUGCGUGCCUUUUGAAGAAUGAGCCUGCGAGUUUGCGGUAUGUUGCGAGGUUAACCCGUGUGGGGAAGCCGUAGCGAAAGCGAGUCCGAAUAGGGCGUUGAGUAGCGUGCCCAAGACCCGAAGCGGAGUGAUCUAGCCAUGGGCAGGUUGAAGCGGAGGUAAGACUUCGUGGAGGACCGAACCCACCAGGGUUGAAAACCUGGGGGAUGACCUGUGGUUAGGGGUGAAAGGCCAAUCAAACUCCGUGAUAGCUGGUUCUCCCCGAAAUGCAUUUAGGUGCAGCGUCGUGUGUUUCUUGCCGGAGGUAGAGCACUGGAUAGGCGAUGGGCCCUACCGGGUUACUGACCUUAGCCAAACUCCGAAUGCCGGUAAGUGAGAGCGCGGCAGUGAGACUGUGGGGGAUAAGCUCCAUGGUCGAGAGGGAAACAGCCCAGAGCAUCGACUAAGGCCCCUAAGCGUGUGCUAAGUGGGAAAGGAUGUGGAGUCGCAGAGACAACCAGGAGGUUGGCUUAGAAGCAGCCAUCCUUGAAAGAGUGCGUAAUAGCUCACUGGUCAAGUGAUUCCGCGCCGACAAUGUAGCGGGGCUCAAGCACACCGCCGAAGUCGUGUCAUUGCAG